rnacentral:misc_RNA from 1 species
UAAUAGUCCAUGGCUCACUAAGUUUCUCAGCUUUUGAAAUAUGAUAAAGGCUAUUAUUCUUUGGUUUUCUAAAAUUGGUCAUUUUGUAACAUAUCAGAGUUGCAUUAUGACAAUUUUUGUGCAUGAUUAAAACUCGAAAUGCUUCAUAAAAUGGUGAUUUUAUGUGUUCUGCUUUCUAGGCGAUAAUAUUGGGAAUCAAGUAUUUUCCAUCAGUAAAUGCUUUGUUGAGAAAAUUUUUGCCCCUGAGACUUAAGCUUUACAGAAA